UGAGAGACAGCGGGAGAAACUACCUGGAGAAGUCGGAUGAGAAUCGGAGCUGAGACUACUUACUAGGCCAAAGUAAAGGACUCACUGUGGAUGAAGACUUUUUUUCUGUAGGACUAAACAGCACUUCGAACACACAAGAAGGGCUGAGGUCAAAAUGACAGCUGGGUUGGUAGUUCACAACGUCCCCCUAGCCUUUGCCAGGACUAAGUCAUCCUGCAUUACCAAUGAAGCACUCGCACCAUAUUUCACACAGGAACUUGUGAAGGAGAUGAAAAAAGCCCCGUAUACCCUUGUUACAGAUGGGUCGAAACACACUGGUAUUUCCCAAACUAUUUGAGAUUUUUCUCAACUGCAAAACAUUUGCUUUUUAUAUUACAGAUUGUAGAUAUGUAUAUAUUUAUCAAACCAAGAACAUUGUUCAAACACAUUUGAAAUAAACAAAGGCAAAUGUAAUUUCCACAGAAAGUGCUGACGUUGUAUUUCCAUUGCUUAUUGCACUAUAACUGUCUCAAA